rnacentral:sRNA from 1 species
GCCAGGCAUUGUGGUGGAUGCCUGUAAUCCCAGCAGCUUUGGGAGGCUGAGGCAGGAGGAUCGUGAAUUCAAAGCCAGCCCCAGCAACAGCGAGGCACUAAGCAACUCAGUGAGACCCUAUCUCUA